rnacentral:rRNA from 1 species
AUUGAACGCUGGCGGCAGGCCUAACACAUGCAAGUCGGGCGGUAACAGGGAUAGCUUGCUUUCUGCUGACGAGCGGCGGACGGGUGAGUAAUGCAUAGGAAUCUGCCUGGUAGUGGGGGAUAGCCCAGAGAAAUUUGGAUUAAUACCGCAUACGCCCUACGGGGGAAAGCUGGGGACCUUCGGGCCUAGCGCUAUCAGAUGAGCCUAUGUCGGAUUAGCUUGUUGGUGAGGUAACGGCUCACCAAGGCGACGAUCCGUAGCUGGUCUGAGAGGAGAUCAGCCACAC